GCUCACCAAGACGAUGACGGGUAGCCGGCCUGAGAGGGCGAACGGCCACACUGGGACUGAGAUACGGCCCAGACUCCUACGGGAGGCAGCAGUGGGGAAUAUUGCACAAUGGGCGAAAGCCUGAUGCAGCGACGCCGCGUGGGGGAUGAAGGUCUUCGGAUUGUAAACCCCUUUCGGCAGGGACGAAGCGCAAGUGACGGUACCUGCAGAAGAAGCACCGGCCAACUACGUGCCAGCAGCCGCGGUAAUACGUAGGGUGCGAGCGUUGUCCGGAAUUACUGGGCGUAAAGAGCUUGUAGGCGGCCUAUUGCGUCGUGGGUGGAAUUUCACAGCUCAACUGUGAAAUUGCCCACGAUACGGGUAGGCUAGAGUGUUUCAGGGGAGAUUGGAACUCCUAGUGUAGCGGUGGAAUGCAUAGAUAUUAGGAAGAACACCAAUGGCGAAGGCAGAUCUCUGGGAAACAACUGACGCUGAGAAGCGAAAGCGUGGGGAGCAAACAGGCUUAGAUACCCUGGUAGUCCACGCUGUAAACGGUGGGUACUAGGUGUAGGUUUCGUUCCACGAAAUCUGUGCCGUAGCUAACGCAUUAAGUACCCCGCCUGGGGAGUACGGUCGCAAGGCUAAAACUCAAAGGAAUUGACGGGGGCCCGCACAAGCGGCGGAGCAUGUGGAUUAAUUCGAUGCAACGCGAAGAACCUUACCUGGGAUUGAUAUUUACUGGAAAGCUGUAGAGAUACAG
rnacentral:rRNA from 1 species